rnacentral:rRNA from 1 species
GAUGAACGCUGGCGGCGUGCUUAACACAUGCAAGUCGAACGAAGCAUUUAAGACAGAUUACUUCGGUUUGAGGUCUUUUAUGACUGAGUGGCGGACGGGUGAGUAACGCGUGGGUAACCUGCCUCAUACAGGGGGAUAGCAGCUGGAAACGGCUGGUAAUACCGCAUAAGCGCACAGUACCACAUGGUACAGUGUGAAAAGCUCCGGUGGUAUGAGAUGGACCCGCGUCUGAUUAGCUUGUCGGCGGGGUAACGGCACACCAAGGCGACGAUCAGUAGCCGACAUGGGAGGCGGCCCGGCCGCAAUGGGACUGAGGCACGGACCAGACUCCUACGCGAGGCAGCAGUGGAGAGUAUUACACGAUGGAGGAUGCUCUGAUGCAGCGGCGCGGCGUGAGUGGAGAAGUAGUUCGCAAUGUAAAGCUCUAUGAGCAGGGAAGAUAGUGACGGUACCUGGUAAAGAAGCACCGGCUAAAUACGUG